rnacentral:siRNA from 1 species
GUUCCUAGCUGGUGAAAUCGGUGG